rnacentral:tRNA from 2 species
GGCGUCGUGGCCAAAGUGGAGUAAGGCACCGGGCUUUCAACUCGGAGAGUGGGGGUUCGAAUCCCCCCGACGUCA